ensembl:miRNA Mir6408 microRNA 6408
AGGCGCAGGGAGGGACAAUCUGCUCAAGCUCAGCUAGAAGCAGGGAUGCUAUGGCUACAUGGGCUUGCUUGGGGUGGUCCUUUGUCUGGCUG